UACGUAGGGUGCAAGCGUUAAUCGGAAUUACUGGGCGUAAAGGGUGCGCAGGCGGCCAAAUGUGUGAGGCGUGAAAGCCCGGGGCUUAACCCCGGAAUUGCACCUCAAACUAUUUGGCUAGAGCAUUGGAGAGGGAAGCGGAAUUCACGGUGUAGCAGUGAAAUGCGUAGAUAUCGAUGAGGAACACCAGAGGCGAAGGCGGCUUCCUGGACAAUUGCUGACGCUCAGGCACGAAAGCGUGGGGAGCAAAAGGG
rnacentral:rRNA from 1 species